rnacentral:rRNA from 1 species
GACGAACGCUGGCGGCGUGCCUAAUACAUGCAAGUAGAACGCUGAAGAGAGGAGCUUCCUCUUCUUGGAUGAGUUGCGAACGGGUGAGUAACGCGUAGGUAACCUGCCUUGUAGCGGGGGAUAACUAUUGGAAACGAUAGCUAAUACCGCAUAACAAUGGAUGACACAUGUCAUUUAUUUGAAAGGGGCAAUUGCUCCACUACAAGAUGGACCUGCGUUGUAUUAGCUAGUAGGUGAGGUAAUGGCUCACCUAGGCGACGAUACAUAGCCGACCUGAGAGGGUGAUCGGCCACACUGGGACUGAGACACGGCCCAGACUCAUACGGGAGGCAGCAGUAGGGAAUCUUCGGCAAUGGGGGCAACCCUGACCGAGCAACGCCGCGUGAGUGAAGAAGGUUUUCGGAUCGUAAAGCUCUGUUGUAAGUCAAGAACGGGUGUGAGAGUGGAAAGUUCACACUGUGACGGUAGCUUACCAGAAAGGGACGGCUAACUACGUG